rnacentral:rRNA from 1 species
AAAGCCUGAUCCAGCCAUGCCGCGUGUCUGAAGAAGGCCUUCGGGUUGUAAAGGACUUUUGUCAGGGAGCAAAACUUACUGGUUAAUACCCGGUGAGGCUGAGAGUACCUGAAGAAUAAGCACCGGCUAACUACGUGCCAGCAGCCGCGGUAAUACGUAGGGUGCAAGCGUUAAUCGGAAUUACUGGGCGUAAAGCGUGCGCAGGCGGACUUUUAAGCCAGAUGUGAAAGCCCCGAGCUUAACUUGGGAAUUGCGUUUGGAACUGGGAGUCUAGAGUCUGUCAGAGGGGGAUGGAAUUCCACGUGUAGCAGUGAAAUGCGUAGAGAUGUGGAGGAACACCGAUGGCGAAGGCAGUCCCCUGGGAUAAGACUGACGCUCAUGCACGAAAGCGUGGGGAGCAAACAGGAUUAGAUACCCUGGUAGUCCACGCCCUAAACGAUGUCUACUAGUUGUUGGGGUAGCAAUACCUCAGUGACGCAGCUAACGCGUGAAGUAGACCGCCUGGGGAUACGGUCGCAAG